rnacentral:rRNA from 1 species
UACGUAGGGGGCAAGCGUUGUCCGGAAUCAUUGGGCGUAAAGCGCGUGUAGGCGGUUCGGUAAGUCUGCUGUGAAAGUCCAGGGCUCAACCCUGGGAUGCCGGUGGAUACUGUCGGACUAGAGUACGGAAGAGGCGAGUGGAAUUCCCGGUGUAGCGGUGAAAUGCGCAGAUAUCGGGAGGAACACCAAUUGCGAAGGCAGCUCGCUGGACGUCACUGACGCUGAGACGCGAAAGCG